UUAGGUGGUCUGCUGCAGAGAACUAGAGGUUCAACUCCUGAUCCAUGGAGACUCACCAGUGCUAAGGGACUUCUGUUCAAUUGGAUCAAACUUGGCUGUAUUGUGGUGCUGAAGAUGCAAGGGAGGAAAGAGGCUGUUUGGGCAGAAAAUGAUGAUCCUUAGCUGCUAACUCUGUCAGCACAAAGAGAGUGGGACUGCAGAUGACCUCCAACACUGAAUAAACCAAAAAGGAUUCAUUUAACGUUUGAGAACAAAUUCUCAGGCAUGGGGAAAGAAGCCCCAGUGUGACUGCAAAGAGUGCUGCAAAAGA
rnacentral:lncRNA from 1 species